rnacentral:rRNA from 1 species
UGGGGAAUAUUGCACAAUGGGCGCAAGCCUGAUGCAGCGACGCCGCGUGCGGGAUGGAGGCCUUCGGGUUGUAAACCGCUUUUGUUCAAGGGCAAGGCAGGCUUUCG